AGACGAGCUAUACUAUCCGAUUUUUGUUACUUAAUGUUUGUGAAUCAUAUCAUUGUGGAUCGUAUUUUGGAGCUGUUUGUGAUUAACGUUACAUCAACUGGUUGUGGUCAUCUGUCAUGUCAUCUGUAAAGGAGGUGUAUCGGAGUCUUUUCUUGUGAUUACCAUCGUAGCGGUGCUAACAACAGGAGAUUUCUCCCAGCAGAAACACAGGUGCUGAUUAUGAGGAGCUCAUCAUAU